rnacentral:lncRNA from 1 species
AGUGGUUAGAGAGAGAGACCAUCUGGGUAGGGGCUGAGUGGUUAGAGAGAGAGACCAUCUGGGUAGGGGCUGAGUGGUUAGAGAGAGAGACCAUCUGGGUAGGGGCUGAGUGGUUAGAGAGACCAUCUGGGUAGGGGCUGAGUGUGGUUAGAGAGAGAGACCAUCUGGGUAGGGGCUGAGUGGUUAGAGAGACCAUCUGGGUAGGGGCUGAGUGGUUAGAGAGACCAUCUGUGUAGGGGCUGAGUGGUUAGAGAGAGAGAGACCAUCUGGGUAGGGGCUGAGUGGUUAGAGAGAGAGAGACCAUCUGGGUAGGGGCUGAGUGGUUAGAGAGAGAGACCAUCUGGGUAGGGGCUGAGUGGUUAGAGAGAGAGAGACCAUCUGGGUAGGGGCUGAGUGGUUAGAGAGAG